rnacentral:rRNA from 1 species
UACGUAGGGGGCGAGCGUUGUCCGGAGUUACUGGGCGUAAAGCGCUUGUAGGCGGUCCACCAAGUUUGGGGUGACAGUUGCCGACUUAAUCGGCAAAGUGCCUCAAAGACUGGCGGACUUGAGGGCCACAGAGGGACAUGGAACUCCAGGUGUAGUGGUGAAAUGCGUAGAUAUCUGGAAGAACACCAAAGGCGAAGGCAGUGUCCUGGGUGGUCGCUGACGCUGAGAGACGAAAGCUAGGGGAGCGAAUGGG